AACGCCUCUCUUCAUCUGGCAGCUGAUCAAAUGGCGGAGCUUCUUCAACUCGGCUCACUGGUUCUUCUUCUUCUUCUGCCAGACUGAAGUUCCCACCUUCAGGUCAAUUUGUUGUGAAUUCCAAGA